rnacentral:rRNA from 1 species
ACGUAGGGGGCGAGCGUUGUCCGGAAUUACUGGGCGUAAAGGGUGCGUAGGUGGCCUUUUAAGUUGGAUGUGAAAUCCCCGGGCUUAACUUGGGUGGUGCAUCUAAUACUGGAGGGCUAGAGUGCAGGAGAGGGAAGCGGAAUUCCUAGUGUAGCGGUGAGGUGCAUAGAUAUUAAAAGGAACACCAGUAGCGGAGGCGAGUUUCUAGACUGUAACUGACGCUGGGGCAGGAGAGCGUGGAGAGCGAACAG